AUGAAAUUCUGCCACUGCUCAGCCUGCAGAAACAAUAUCUUACCCCCAAAAACACUACAUUAAGCUAGUGGUUCUGGUGCCUAGAGUUUCCCUUUAAUAGCGUUAAUGAAUAGGACUAUUGUUGUGACCAUUUGCAUGUAUAAAGCUGUAAGACAAGCUCCUUCUUAAAAAACUGGCAAAUUACAUGCAUGUGCCUGCUGCAACUUUCACAACCAGAGGGCUUGUUGUCUGGGGCCUCUACUGGCCUCUAGUGUUAU